rnacentral:lncRNA from 7 species
GAUCAUAACAUCUCUCUGCAUUUAUGCUGUGGCAGCAAAAAUUUAAGCUUGGAUUGUAAUCAUAAAGAAAUUAACUUGCUGAUUAAAAAUAGUCCUUUAAGCAACAUGCAUUUGAAUAAUCCAUCAUAAAAACAAAUCAGUCUGGAGCAAUACUUUUGACUUGAUAAUCUUUUUUUCUGCUUAAAAUUUAAAUCAGUUGCAUUUUUUUCUCUUACUCUGGUGCCUAUAGAAAAAUACAAUGAAUUGCUAAAAAGAAAGCAAUAGUUCAAACUGCAAUAGCUGUAGUGUUGAAUAUAGAUUUUAGAUCUGUCGCUGCAAGAUAGAUUUGUAUGUCAUAGUUCUAAUUUCCAGCUGUGGUGCCUUCAGGCAACUCCACUGACAUUAGAUGCCUUACACAAAAUGCAAGUUAAUGCAGAAAAUUCGCUUUUAUAUAUUUGCAAAGAAUUUUGAAGAUAAAAGAAAUGCACACGCCAGAGCUGAUCGAAUUCUUCUUGAGGUCUGUAGUGGAGGUCCUGUUUAAUUCAACUGCUGGAACUGCUGGAUCAUGUCUGAAUGAAUGCAGCAGAAGUCUGCUUACAGGAGAAAACUCCAGCCACAAGGAGGUCCAUGGCUGCCCUCCUGCAGUGCACUCAUUAUAAACAACAAAUGCAUCAAGGAGUUGCUGCUGUGAAAAUCCCCAUCUAACUACUGCGAUGGAUAAUCUUCCCAAGAAGUGCUUCAUGUCCAUGGGAGUGUGGCAUGGUGCCACUGUCUGAAUGAAGGGCAUGGCAGUGUAAGGCUUUGGGUGGGCAGCCAUGCUUCAGACACCGGCAUGGGCUACGCCAUACCACACAGAAGCAGACUACGGCUGAGCAAAGCAGUGCCUCUGUGGUCCUGCAGUGCAGAUGGCUGCUAGACUGGGCCUCAUCAUUGUCUCCAAGGGCAAAAUGUGUUCAGCUGCAUCAUGAAUAUAGAACAAGCUGGGAGCUGCUGCCCUGCUGUUUUGUAUGAGGCUGUAGCUAAACUGAGGUUAGAACGAUACUGUUCUCUCUUCCUCUUUCUACCACUGCUCCCAAGCCAUCAAGUGGGAAAAGAAGCUGCUACUGAAAAGCAAAGAGAGCGUGUAUGGAACUCAUGAGUACUGAAUUCCAAAAAUUCCUUUCUCUCAAAUCCAAGCUCCAGAACUAAUGAUGAAGCUAGCAUAGCAGAAAGGCCAAAACCAGGGCUAAAGACCGGGAAACAAACUAAUCAGAUCUGCAGUGUAUGUUUUAUCCUGCUGUCUCCACAAGGUGGCUAUUAAAUAUCACUAGGCUCAAAUCCCCAGGGCCUGAUUUACCUUUUCCAGAAUAUACAGGUAUCUCAUGAGUGAAAAAUGAUAACACAAUGCUUUUCAUUCUCACAGAAUUCAACACUAGUUUACUAUGUGUAUUAUACAACAGAAGUUAUUUACUCAAGAUUAUUGGUUAUAUUAGGGAAAUGCUACACCUUUCUUUUAAUCUAUUCCAAAGUGAUGCUUUUUUGUAUUUUUGCAUGAGCUGUAGUCCACAAUGAAUAACAGCUUAUGCAUCUCAUCGGUUUCUUUUUACUUCCUUAUAUUUUAAAUAAAAUGCAAUGG